rnacentral:SRP_RNA from 1 species
GGAGGUUGGCGGCGGACGUACGUCUCGCCAACCCGGUCAGGUCCGGAAGGAAGCAGCCGUAACGAGUUUCCGUGCGGGUUGCUGUCCAGCCUCCCAC